UACGUAGGGGGCUAGCGUUGUCCGGAAUCAUUGGGCGUAAAGAGCGUGUAGGCGGUCCGGUAAGUCCGUUGUGAAAGUCAGGGGCUCAACCCUUGAAUGCCGGCGGAUACUGUCGGGCUAGAGUCCGGAAGAGGCAAGUGGAAUUCCCGGUGUAGCGGUGAAAUGCGCAGAUAUCGGGGAGGAACACCUAUGGCGAAGGCAGCUUGCUGGGACGGUACUGACGCUGAGACGCGAAAGCGUGGGGAGCAAACAGG
rnacentral:rRNA from 1 species